AUUGAACGCUGGCGGCAGGCCUAACACAUGCAAGUCGAGCGGAUGAAGGGAGCUUGCUCCUGGAUCCAGCGGCGGACGGGUGAGUAAUGCCUAGGAAUCUGCCUGGUAGUGGGGGAUAACGUCCGGAAACGGGCGCUAAUACCGCAUACGUCCUGAGGGAGAAAGUGGGGGAUCUUCGGACCUCACGCUAGCAGGUGAGCCUAGGUCGGAUUAGCUAGUUGGUGGGGUAAAGGCCUACCAAGGCGGCGAUCCGUAACUGGACUGAGAGGAUGAUUAGUCACACUGGAAGUGAGACACGGUCCAGACUCCUGCGAGAGGCAGCAGUGGGGAAUGUGAGACAGUGGGCGAAAACCUGGUCCAGCCGGGCCGAGUGUGAGACAGAAGUCUUCGGAUUGUAAAGCACGUUAAGUUGGGAGGAAGGGCAGUAAGUUGAUACCUUGCUGUUUUGACGGUAACGGCAGAAUAAGCACCGGCUAACUACGUG
rnacentral:rRNA from 1 species